rnacentral:rRNA from 1 species
UUCAGAAGCCAUGACCACCUGAGGCUGUGAUCUCAUCAGAUUUCAGAAGCUAAGCUGAGUUGAGUUUAGUUAGUAGUUGUAUGGGAGACCUCCAAGAAAAUCUCAGUGUGCUGUAA